UUAUCUUUUUGUUUAAGAUACCCAUAUGGAUGUUGUCCUGGAUAUGAAUGGAAUUACAAGACGGAAAAUUGUACAGAAUGUAAGAUUGGAUUCUCUGGCAUCAGCUGUUCAAAAGCAUGUGUCUAUCCAAGCUAUGGGAUGAACUGUAAGGAGAACUGUACUUGUUCUAAGGAAAAUUGUAACUUUACUCUCGGAUGCACAUACAUCUCUACUGUUAGUCUGUUAAUGAAAGAAACUACCUUUACUACAUAAAGCUUUUGAAAUACUUAACGAGAUCAUCCAUUAGCGAAAAACAAGAAGAAGAGGACAUUCAUUAUUUUACGAUACAAGACAAAGAUCUAUGCAUGAA